CACACAAUCGAAGAAGCGAGAGCCUCACGACAAUCUACUGGAGCAAGGGCCAAUCUGCAUCUAUUUACGCCAUGGCGUCUACUAACUGAAGGGACCAAAUCAAUGUAUAAAGCCAGACAACUCAAGCUCCAAGAUGACUUUCAAUUCAACUGUAACGCUAAGUACAUGGAUACUGCUGCCACUGCUCAUUGUGCUCUCUCUCGUCUCUGGCUGUCAGGCGUUGGGGGAGUACGAAGCCGCCGAGUACGAACGAACGUACUACGUCAUAUGCAGGAUCUUUCCUUUUGACCCGUAUUGCUACAAUCGGGGACUGGAAUAGCGACAGGAACCACGGCCAAUGAAGUAUACCAAGGCAGGGUCAAGGGCAAUGAGAGACACUUCCUUCCAACAGCUUAUUUGCGUUCUAGAGUAUGGAAUUCUAACUUCGGGUUCUUCUUGAAACUAUAACAAAUUUACUUUUGUGAACUAUUACAGAAAUCAGGGACUUCAUUUUUAAUGCAAAACUUUGAUCAAUCCCAAAUAGUCAAUGGUCUGAGAAUCGUUUCGACGCAUGCAAUAUUCUCAGGGCCGGUCGUUGACUUUAGUGUUUCAUUCAAUUUAAAAAAAAAAAAAAACAAUGACAACAAGAUGUUGACUUGACCAACAAAAUAAAAUUCCUAAUUUGGGUGUUUUCAUUCAAA